rnacentral:lncRNA from 1 species
GUCGGCACGAUGGCAGUGUUGUGAGCUUUUACCGGUGGGAGCUUUCGGAGAGGGAGAAUCGAUCCCUCGAUGUCUAUGUCGAUGCAUGCUUCGGUAAGUAGAUCUCACAUUACCUUUCUUGCGUGAUAAGCAUGAUGUCUCCGAUCCAUCAUAGCUGAAUCGACAACAGAUGUCACUCAUGUCGUUUCUUACAGCCAAGAACUGUUCUUCCGGUGACGAUGAUGACGCUGUCGUCGUUGGGUGGCUCUUCGGUAUCUUGCAGUCCUCUUCACGAAGAAGCUUCACUGUAGCUGAAGAUUAAUCUUGCCCGAUCACAACCUGUAAACGCCAUGAAAGAAUAGACAGAGAGUUCCAAGGCAAGUAUACAGAUAAUUUGCUUUAUGGAAUGAUGGAAAGAUGGAAUGUGAGGAGGUGACUGCCAACGAAAAGUCAGUCUUAGCAUAGAAGCAAUCACCAAACAAGAAUUGUUCUCGGGCAUCGAGGAGAAGACACGCAUCGCCAGAUUAGGUAGGCAAGAAAUACUGGUUUUGGCAAACCAAUCGAAUGCAAAAUUCGUGACCGGGAAUUGAAGUUGAUAGCUCAGAGUACUUAAUUGGCAUGCAUUUGGUUGAGACAUAUGUAAUUAUCAACCACAAAGCUUCAAUAUAAUAUCUCAUGUUUUGAUGCUUCCAACUCUUAAAAGAAACGAUUCUCUUUAUCUCAAGAGGAGAAUCCAAGUCAUUGUCUCAAACGCUGUGGGAACAAAUGCUUUGUUAUUUUGAUCACAUAAGGCUUUACCUACCUAAAUGUUGAUGUUAGCUAUGAAUGCCUUGAUAAACCCUUAAUAACCUUACUAUAAUCCGGAGAUUUUAGGAAGCA